AACUUAGGUAUCGUCUUGGUAGGAAAGAAAGAUAGGGAGCGAGAGGGAAAGGGAAAUAAGAGGAGACAGAAAGACGGACCGCAGGUCUCGGUUAAGUCCUCGCAGACGAUCGUGAGGUCGUCGUCGAGGGACAUAACGGAUCCGGCUGUUCGUCUGUUCAGAGUAAGGGAUGCGGCGCGCAUGCGUAAUGCCGCCGCAUUCCAGACAUUGCAAAGACGUUGCACCGCGCCGCGCCGGUGCAUCGGCCCGCGCGCGCGCGCGCGCGCGACGAAGAGAGCGAAGAAGUUGGAGCGCGGUGGCGAACAAGUCCAGGCGAUCAACGUGAGCGCAUCGUCGCGGCUGUCAGACGCUCUCUCCUGGAAGAUGCGCCUGUACUGAUCACCGACACGGCACCGUCGAUGGCUCUUCUCGCCGAAAAAUUCGAAUAAAGGAGUGACGACAGGAAAGAUGAUGAAGGAGUCACGUGGAAGAUACGUAUAUAGAGUCACCUGAGAAUCCUGAUUAAUUAGAAUGUCUAUCAAUGCGUUCAAUGCGAAUACUUUACACAGCUGCCAUCUAGCACGGAAUUUAAGUGUCACGAAGAGCGGUGGAAAUGAUCAACAUCGGAUAAUAUAAAUUUCAAUAUUAAUUCAAAUUCAAAUUAAUUUAAAAGGA